CCCUGAUGCAGCCGAUGCCCGCGUGAACGAUGAAGGCCUUCGGGUCGUAAAGUUCUGUUGUAAGGGAAGAACAAGUGCCGCAGGCAAUGGCGGCACCUUGACGGUACCUUGCGAGAAAGCCACGGCUAACUACGUGCCAGCAGCCGCGGUAAUACGUAGGUGGCAAGCGUUGUCCGGAAUUAUUGGGCGUAAAGCGCGCGCAGGCGGCCUCUUAAGUCUGAUGUGAAAGCCCCCCGGCUCAACCGGGGAGGGCCAUUGGAAACUGGGAGGCUUGAGUAUAGGAGAGAAGAGUGGAAUUCCACGUGUAGCGGUGAAAUGCGUAGAGAUGUGGAGGAACACCAGUGGCGAAGGCGACUCUUUGGCCUAUAACUGACGCUCGAGGCGCGAAAGCGUGGGGACGCAAACAGGAUUAGACUACCCUGGUAG
rnacentral:rRNA from 1 species